rnacentral:rRNA from 1 species
AUUGAACCUUGGCGGCAUGCCUUACACAUGCAAGUCGAACGGCAGCACGGAGCUUGCUCUGGUGGCGAGUGGCGAACGGGUGAGUAAUAUAUCGGAACGUACCCUAGAGUGGGGGAUAACGUAGCGAAAGUUACGCUAAUACCGCAUACGAUCUAAGGAUGAAAGUGGGGGAUCGCAAGACCUCAUGCUCGUGGAGCGGCCGAUAUCUGAUUAGCUAGUUGGUAGGGUAAAAGCCUACCAAGGCAUCGAUCAGUAGCUGGUCUGAGAGGACGACCAGCCACACUGGAACUGAGACACGGUCCAGACUCCUACGGGAGGCAGCAGUGGGGAAUUUUGGACAAUGGGCGAAAGCCUGAUCCAGCAAUGCCGCGUGAGUGAAGAAGGCCUUCGGGUUGUAAAGCUCUUUUGUCAGGGAAGAAACGGUGAGAGCUAAUAUCUCUUGCUAAUGACGGUACCUGAAGAAUAAGCACCGGCUAACUACGUGCCAGCAGCCGCGGUAAUACGUAGGGUGCAAGCGUUAAUCGGAAUUACUGGGCGUAAAGCGUGCGCAGGCGGUUUUGUAAGUCUGAUGUGAAAUCCCCGGGCUCAACCUGGGAAUUGCAUUGGAGACUGCAAGGCUAGAAUCUGGCAGAGGGGGGUAGAAUUCCACGUGUAGCAGUGAAAUGCGUAGAUAUGUGGAGGAACACCGAUGGCGAAGGCAGCCCCCUGGGUCAAGAUUGACGCUCAUGCACGAAAGCGUGGGGAGCAAACAGGAUUAGAUACCCUGGUAGUCCACGCCCUAAACGAUGUCUACUAGUUGUCGGGUCUUAAUUGACUUGGUAACGCAGCUAACACGUGAAGUAGACCGCCUGGGGAGUACGGUCGCAAGAUUAAAACUCAAAGGAAUUGACGGGGACCCGCACAAGCGGUGGAUGAUGUGGAUUAAUUCGAUGCAACGCGAAAAACCUUACCUACCCUUGACAUGGCUGGAAUCCUUGAGAGAUCAGGGAGUGCUCGAAAGAGAACCAGUACACAGGUGCUGCAUGGCUGUCGUCAGCUCGUGUCGUGAGAUGUUGGGUUAAGUCCCGCAACGAGCGCAACCCUUGUCAUUAGUUGCUACGAAAGGGCACUCUAAUGAGACUGCCGGUGACAAACCGGAGGAAGGUGGGGAUGACGUCAAGUCCUCAUGGCCCUUAUGGGUAGGGCUUCACACGUCAUACAAUGGUACAUACAGAGCGCCGCCAACCCGCGAGGGGGAGCUAAUCGCAGAAAGUGUAUCGUAGUCCGGAUUGUAGUCUGCAACUCGACUGCAUGAAGUUGGAAUCGCUAGUAAUCGCGGAUCAGCAUGUCGCGGUGAAUACGUUCCCGGGUCU